AAAUUGAAGAGUUUGAUCAUGGCUCAGAUUGAACGCUGGCGGCAGGCCUAACACAUGCAAGUCGAGCGGAAACGAGUUAUCAAAGCCUUCGGGUGGCGAUAGCGGCGUCGAGCGGCGGACGGGUGAGUAAUGCCUAGGAAAUUGCCCUGAUGUGGGGGAUAACCAUUGGAAACGAUGGCUAAUACCGCAUGAUGCCUACGGGCCAAAGAGGGGGACCUUCGGGCCUCUCGCGUCAGGAUAUGCCUAGGUGGGAUUAGCUAGUUGGUGAGGUAAGGGCUCACCAAGGCGACGAUCCCUAGCUGGUCUGAGAGGAUGAUCAGCCACACUGGAACUGAGACACGGUCCAGACUCCUACGGGAGGCAGCAGUGGGGAAUAUUGCACAAUGGGCGCAAGCCUGAUGCAGCCAUGCCGCGUGUGUGAAGAAGGCCUUCGGGUUGUAAAGCACUUUCAGUCGUGAGGAAGGUAGUG
rnacentral:rRNA from 1 species